GGCUGGCUCGCGCUGCGCCCUGCCGCCACGCGACGCGACGCGCUCUGUCCUCUGUCUGCAUCCACUGUGCGCCCGUCUCGUCCACUGUGCGCCCCGUGUGUGUUCGUGCGACGCCGUGCGACGCUCCUCGCGAAGCAUUUCUUCCUACCGACAGAACGUGCAAUCGAAUCGGCACUGCAACCCUUUAGUUCGAGCAGCAAGGUCUCCCGCUCACCGUUUGUGUCAGAUGCCAAUAUCGAAGCAGAAGUGACUGCCGCCGCAAAGUACCAACAAAACCAAUAACUCCCUUCAGCGAUGGAAAAGAAACAGGAGAAUCAAACGACGCGGGCUGCUGACGCCGUUCACAUUCGGUGAUCAUUUUGGGAACAAUCGAACGGCCUCUUUUUCUUUCUGGUGCAUAGCUGGCAGUACCUGAAUGAGAUGAGGCACACGUCAGAGGUUGGUGUGGCGAGUGAAAGUGGUGCGGCAGCAGAAGGGGAGAGAAUAGACAGCCGUGUCGGUGCCAUACGUCGCCUUACAAGGAGAACGCUCUGACGGGCGGCCGUAAAACGGCGGCAGCUGCCACCGCUCCCGUUACAUGCCAUUCGUUCGGUGGCUGUCGCUGAUCGAACCAAAGUAUCCUGCCUUCAGCGUCAGCACAGUUCUCAAUACACCACUACCUACUCACAAAACUUGAAGAACUGCCAUAUGAUACUAGUUUGUAGCUUGUCAAACGCUACUUUCUAUAGAGGAGACCAGGGCUAGUUGUCAUAGAUUUUGAGUUCUGAUAUUUCUAUUUUUUGUUUUAUUUAUUUAUUUAUUUUUAUUUUUGUGCAAUUCUUGCAGAAAUUCUGGUGAAUGCAGCGCAUAGCUUGGCUUUUUGAGUACACAAUACUAUAGGAAGAACAAAUUCUUCAAAAAGUAAAUUCAUUGUGAAGAAAAUAAUUUUGCUUCAACGCAGUAUGAACUUAAAUGUAUGAACAAACAGUGAAUUGAUCAAGAAAAACAAUUUUUCUGAUUAUUAUUAUAGGUACCAAUAGUUAUUCACACGUAAUUACGAGGGUUGCCCAGAAAGUAAUGCACCGCACUUUUUCCUCAGCCAGAAACAAUGCUACAAAUUCAAAACGUUACGUAUGUAUUGUCUGAAGUGUCCUGAGUGAGCACGCCAAGCUUCCGUCACUUCCGACAGGUAGCGUAGCGGAUGAGCAGUUGCAAAAUGGCGUCUGUAGGUGAUGUAUGUUACAAGCAACGUGCCGUCAUUGAAUUUCUCGCUGCAGAGAGAGAAACUGUGGGGACCCACGGACUUCCACUUAUUUGGACCAUGAAAGGCUGCCAUUCGUAGAAGACAUUUUGAGGACGAUGAGGAGGUGAUUCACACAGUGAAGCACUGGCUCCGCCACCAGGACAAGGACUCGUACCGACAGGGCAUACACACCCUUGUUUCGUGCU